GGACAAAGAGCCCUGAUCUGUAUCAUUAACCAGUUUCUAUGGUGUAAAUAUUUCCACCAUGGCCACUUUCAAGCUGCCAACAGGAAGUGAACUGGCUGUCAAAACUCCUGCAAAUGUAACAACCCAGGACAAUCCAAUCUGUGGGUGGCAUCUCCCUGGAGCCUGGGUCCUCUCUCUGAGCUGGCUUACCUGUCCGUCUGGAACCUGGUUAGGCCAUGGAUGAAACUCAGCUUCGAUGCCCAUUGCAGAGGGAAGUAAAGGAUGCUUGCACUGAGUGACUGCUAGUGCGGGAGUUUUACAAAGCACUGCAGUGACCUCAUGUGAGACUCAAGUCUAAAGUGCAGUGGGCAAGCCCACACAGCAAGCAGCUUCUAGAGCCAGCCUCAGGCCACCCAGCCUUGAGAGCCUCUGGGAGGAGGUUUUCUAGCAGGUGAGUGGUCAGAUUCUGUCUCUGUCCUGCCGGAUGAAUGGGCGGCGCUUGGCAGCUCUCCUUCCCCCUUGCCCACUGCGGAGAAGGCUGGAAGUUGCCUGGGAAGUAGGAAGUGAUGCAGGGGCUCCUGACGUCUUCUCCGCAGGCUUGGUGGUGGACCGGUUGGGCCAUCUUCCAGGAGCGGGUCACUGGCUCUAUGGGUGUCGAGAGGAAAGGCGAGGUCUAUUUUUUGGCCAGGAUGAAUCCAGCAGGUGUGUUCUGUGACUGCGUGGCUUCUGGCAUCACCACAGCAGUCACGAUGCUGAAGGCUGCGGCAUUGUGAGGACCCCUGGGCUGCUCUUUGCAAUUGCAGUGACCUUCUUCCUCCUCCUAAGCUGUCUCCACGUCUCCAAGUCUGUUAUUUCAAGAAUCGUAUAUAAAUGGAAUCAUACACCUUGUAACCUUUUGGGAGUGGCUUUUUCCCUCAGAAUCAUUCCCUGGAGACUCCUGCAAGGUCUUGUGUGGCCCAGCCAGGGCUUCUUGUUUUCCAUCCAUCCCUGACACGGAGGCACCACAGCCUGUUUAGCAUCUGUCCACUGAAGGUCACCUAAGUGCUUCCAGUUUUUGGCUGUUAUGAACAAGCUGCUGUGAACACUCGUAUACAGGUUUUUUUAUUUUUUAUUUUUAUUUUUUAGAGAUAGGGUCUUGCUCUGUCACCCAGGCUGGAGUGCAAGGGCACAAUGACAGCUCACUAUAGCCUCAAACUCCCAGGUUCAAGCGAUCCUCCCCCUUCAGCCUCCUAAGUGGCUAGGACUACAAGGGUGGGACUGCCACCACACCCUAAUGUUUAAUUUUAAUUUUAAUUUUUUGUAGAGACAGGGUCUUGCCAUGUUGCCGAGGCCGACCACGAACUCCUGGCUAAGUAAUCCUCCCACCUCAGCCUCCCAAGGUGUCGGAACUACAGGCGUCACCCACUACACCCAGCCUUGUGUAUAGAUUUUGACGUGAACAAAAGCUUUCAUUUCUCUGGGAUAAAUGAGCGCAGUUGCUGAAUCUUAUGGCAACUGUGUGAGCAGUUUUAUAAGAAAUUGCCAAAUUGUUUUCCAGAGGGGCUGGACCAUGUGACAGGCCCAGCAGCAGUUUCUUUUUCUUUUACUUUUUUUUUUGAGACAGAGUCUCACUCUGUUGCCCAGGCUGGACUGCAAUGGCAUGAUCUCUGCUCACUGCAACCUCCGCCUCCUGGGUUCAGGUGAUUCUACUGUCUCAGCCUUCCGAGUAGCUGGGA
rnacentral:lncRNA from 13 species